GGAGGCGUCGCAUAGUGGUCUAGUGCACCACCUUGGAAAGGUGGCAGACCUGAAAGGGUCUCGAGAGUUCAAAUCUCUCCGCCUCCG
rnacentral:tRNA from 1 species